CGGGAAAAUACUAGUAGUGUUGAAAACUCAAGUUGCUUCUCUCUCUAGAAAGUUUCUCCAACUUCUUUCUAGAAAAGUUUUCUUCAUCAAAGUUAAUCACCGGUGGCCGGCUUCGUUCUUUGCUUUUAACCAUUUAUGGUGCUAUAACGGAGCAUCUCGGAAAGGUAGAAAGAAGAGUUUUAUGGAUGUCUUGAAUCAUGCUUGAAGAGGAUUUAGAUGAGUCGGCGCUUUGAAGCGGUCUGGCAAAAGUCUUUCUUCUACUUGGUUUAAGUUUCCAUGGGCAUAACUACGGUGAAUCAAGGCUACUUGUUCUAAGAAUUCACGGCUUUAAAGUGGAAAGGUUUCAAGUUUGGUAUCGGAGUCAGGAUCUUGCGAUGGAGGAAAGGAGAUGCGGCCAGAAGCUUCCGGUGGUGCUGCUCAGAGACACGGCCGAGAUUGCCGCUCAAGGCAUGUGUGACGCGUGGCCAAGUGACGUGGCUUCUGCAGAUCCACUUCCUAUCACGUUGAAGGUUUCUGGAUUCUUCUUUCAAUUGGGCUGAUUAGUGUAAAAUCUAGUGAGUUUCUUUAUGUUGUUAAUUCUGAUA